AGGACGAGAGGACCGGGAUGGACACACCUCUGGUGGACCUGUCGUGGCGCCAGCCGCGCAGCAGGGUAGCUAAGUGUGGAAUAGAUAACCGCUGAAAGCAUCUAAGCGGGAAACUAACCUCAAAACAAGGCUUCGCUGAGAGCCGUGGUAGACCACCACGUCGAUAGGCCAGGUGUGGAAGUGCCGCGAGGCAUGGAGCUUACUGGUACUAAUCGCUCGAUCGGCUUGAUCGUUCUU
rnacentral:rRNA from 1 species